CCAGAGGGUCGGGCGGCCGCGGCGUUUCGGCGUCGAGGAAAGUCCGGGCUCCACGGAGAAACGGUGCCGGGUAACGCCCGGCGGGGGCGACCCCAGGGACAGUGCCACAGAGAGCAGACCGCCGCUCGUAUCACGGGCGGUAAGGGUGAAAGGGUGCGGUAAGAGCGCACCGCGCGGCCGGCAACGGGCGCGGCAUGGCAAACCCCACCGGGAGCAAGACCGAAUAGGGGCGGCACGGCCCAGCAUUGCUGCGCGCCAGGGCUUCUCCGGCCCGCUGCCCGGGUUGGUUGCUGGAGCCGGCGCGCGAGCGCCGGCCGAGAGGAAUGGUCGCCCAGCCCUUCACGGGGCGGACAGAACCCGGCUUACAGACCCUCUGGCAAA
rnacentral:RNase_P_RNA from 2 species